rnacentral:rRNA from 1 species
AGAGUUUGAUCCUGGCUCAGAUUGAACGCUGGCGGCAUGCCUAACACAUGCAAGUCGAACGGAAACGAUGGGAGCUUGCUCCCAGGCGUCGAGUGGCGGACGGGUGAGUAAUACUUAGGAAUCUGCCCAGUAGUGGGGGACAACUCGGGGAAACUCGAGCUAAUACCGCAUACGCCCUACGGGGGAAAGCGGAGGAUCUUUCGGGACUUCGCGCUAUUGGAUGAGCCUAAGUCGGAUUAGCUUGUUGGUGAGGUAAAGGCUCACCAAGGCGACGAUCCGUAGCUGGUCUGAGAGGACGAUCAGCCACACUGGGACUGAGACACGGCCCAGACUCCUACGGGAGGCAGCAGUGGGGAAUAUUGGACAAUGGGGGCAACCCUGAUCCAGCAAUGCCGCGUGUGUGAAGAAGGCCUGCGGGUUGUAAAGCACUUUCAGUAGAGAAGAAAAGCCUGGGGUCAAUACCCCUGGGUCUUGACGUUACCUACAGAAGAAGCUCCGGCUAACUCCGUGCCAGCAGCCGCGGUAAUACGGAGGGAGCGAGCGUUAAUCGGAAUUACUGGGCGUAAAGCGCGCGUAGGCGGCUUUGUAAGUCGGAUGUGAAAGCCCUGGGCUCAACCUGGGAAUGGCAUUCGAUACUGCAUAACUAGAGUAUGGUAGAGGGAAGUGGAAUUUCCGGUGUAGCGGUGAAAUGCGUAGAUAUCGGAAGGAACACCAGUGGCGAA